rnacentral:SRP_RNA from 1 species
CCUGGGUGCAGUGGUGCACGCUGUAAUCCCAGCUACUCGGGAGGCGAGGUGGGAGAAUUGCUUGAGCCCAGAAGAAGUCCAGGGCUGCAAUGCGCGGUGCCAGUCAGGCGUCUGCACUAAGUUCAGCCCCUGUAGAGUGACCUUUCAGGAGUGCAGAACUACCAGGUUGCCUAAGGAGGGGUGAAACCUGCCCAGGUUGGAAACAGAGCAGGUCAAAAUUCCCGUGAUGAUCAGCAGUGGGAUAGUGCCUGUGAACAGCCCCUGCACUCCAGCCUGGACAAUACAGUGAGAUCCUGUCUCU